UGGGUGAGGAAGGGUUUUUGAUAUGAUUCUUUCUUUUUGUUGUCAUUCUUCCCCUCUCUCUUUUUCUCCUUGGGACACUCCUUAGGACUAAAAGGACUUUUCUCAAUUUUUUUCUUUUCUUUUUCAACCCCUUCUUUUUCUUCCUCUACAUGCUUCUCUUUUUCACUCAAACAUUCUUUUUCUUCUCUCUCAUCAUCUUCCUUUUCUACCUCCUUCUCUUUCUCACUCAAACUUUCUUUUUCUUCUCUCCCUACUUUUAUCUCUUCCUCUUUC
rnacentral:lncRNA from 1 species